GUCUAAUCCGGGAGCCCGCUGUGGCCUGAGGACUGGCGGAGCUGUCUGGAUGCCUUCUGAUCUCCACUGCUACGUGGUAAUGUGCUUCCUCCAAGAAGACACCAUCCCAGCAAGAAGGAUCCAAUGAGUCUCAGAGGAGACACCUGCAUCCAUCUUUGUCUUUCUGCAGUUAAGGCACAUUAGGCUUCUGCAAGGUUAUCCAGACUCAGCCACAUUUGCUUACCAGCAAAACAGUGACUGCAACCACAGGCUUUUCCACGGAAGCAACCGACGGCAACGUAAACCACACCUGGCUCAUCCCCCACUACGGUCCACAGCCCUCAUUCUUCAGUGUCUACUGAACUACUGGAUCCAGCAGGAGUAACUGCGCUACACAAGUGCCGAGAUUGAGAGGGUCUUCAUUCUGCUCAGAACAAUGUAACAAAGAUGGAAAAAAAGGCCCACCCGGAAGUAUAGUAUCAUGGGACUUGUGAUAAUGAAAUAAUGCUAGAAAAUUCCAAAAACCUGAUCACACACAAAGGGCUGGGAAGGAGAAUAGCACUGCAUUUUUCAGUAGCAAUACCACGCACCA
rnacentral:lncRNA from 1 species